rnacentral:rRNA from 1 species
UACGAGGGGGCAAAUGUUGUUCGGAAUCACUGGGCGUAAAGGGAGCGUAGGCGGGCUUCUAAGUUGGAUGUUUAACCCCGGGGCCCAACCCCGGAUCGGCAUCCAAAACUGGAAGUCUUGAAUAGUGGAGAGGACGACGGAAUUGGGGGUGUAGCGGUGGAAUGCGUAGGAGAUCCCCAAGAACACCAGUUGCGAAGGCGGUCGCUGGACACAUAUUGACGCUGAGGCUCGAAAGCAUGGGGAGCAAACAGGG